UUUCUAGAUGACUGAGUGAUAAGUGUUAGAUUUUUAAUCUAAAUACGGCAAAUAUCUGCCUCUAGGAAA
rnacentral:tRNA from 1 species